rnacentral:rRNA from 1 species
GACGAACGCUGGCGGCGUGCCUAAUACAUGCAAGUAGAACGCUGAAGGAGGAGCUUGCUUCUCUGGAUGAGUUGCGAACGGGUGAGUAACGCGUAGGUAACCUGCCUGGUAGCGGGGGAUAACUAUUGGAAACGAUAGCUAAUACCGCAUAAUAGCAGUUAUUGCAUGAUAACUGUUUGAAAGGUGCAAUUGCACCACUACCAGAUGGACCUGCGUUGUAUUAGCUAGUUGGUGGGGUAACGGCUCACCAAGGCGACGAUACAUAGCCGACCUGAGAGGGUGAUCGGCCACACUGGGACUGAGACACGGCCCAGACUCCUACGGGAGGCAGCAGUAGGGAAUCUUCGGCAAUGGACGGAAGUCUGACCGAGCAACGCCGCGUGAGUGAAGAAGGUUUUCGGAUCGUAAAGCUCUGUUGUAAGAGAAGAAACGAGUGUGAGAGUGAAAAGUUCCAC